ensembl:snoRNA
AUAAAAUGGAGUUCAUAAGAUGAUGAUUGGGUGUUCAUACAUCUGUGUGAAAUGUGCCUCCCCCAAACCUUGUUAUGACCUCAGCGCAUUACCUGGUUAAAA